rnacentral:rRNA from 1 species
GAUGAACGCUGGCGGCGUGCUUAACACAUGCAAGUCGAACGAGAAAUGGAGACGGAAACCUUCGGGCGGAAGGCUUCAUUUCGAGUGGCGGACGGGUGAGUAACGCGUGGGUAACCUGCCUCAUACAGGGGGAUAACAGUUGGAAACGACUGUUAAUACCGCAUAAGACCACAGCACCGCAUGGUGCGGGGUAAAAACUCCGGUGGUAUGAGAUGGACCCGCGUUCGAUUAGCCAGUUGGCGGGGUAACGGCCCACCAAAGCGACGAUCGAUAGCCGAUCUGAGAGGAUGACCGGCCACAUUGGGACUGAGACACGGCCCAAACUCCUACGGGAGGCAGCAGUGGGGAAUAUUGCACAAUGGGGGAAACCCUGAUGCAGCGACGCCGCGUGAGUGAAGAAGUACUUCGGUAUGUAAAGCUCUAUCAGCAGGGAAGAAAAUGACGGUACCUGAGUAAGAAGCCCCGGCUAACUACGU